UAGGGAAUAUUAGUAAUGGGCGAAAGCCUGAACUAGCAACGCCGCGUGUGCGAAGAAGGCCUUUGGGUUGUAAAGCACUUUUUGAGAGGAUGUGGAAGGACGGUACUCUCAGAAUAAGUCUCGGCUAACUACGUGCCAGCAGCCGCGGUAACACGUAGGAGGCGAACGUUAUCCGGAUUUACUGGGCGUAAAGCGCGUGUAGGUGGUUUGGUAAGUAGGGCGUGAAAGCUCCUGGCUCAACUGGGAGAGGCCGUUCUAAACUGCCGAACUAGAGGAUGGUAGAGGGAGGUGGAAUUCCGGGUGUAGCGGUGGAAUGCGCAGAUAUCCGGAGGAACACCAGUGGCGAAAGCGGCCUCCUGGACCACUCCUGACACUCAGACGCGAAAGCUAGGGUAGCAAACGG
rnacentral:rRNA from 1 species